UCCCACGCCGCUGUGCUGACGCGGGCUGCCACGGGCUGCCGCGCCGCCAAGUUCAAGGAUGCCGAGCGGAGCAGAGCGCAGUGCGCUCUGAGCGCCGCGUUCAGCCGAGCCGUGCAUUUGCCGGCCGAGCCGGGCCGGGGUUGGCGUUGGCUGCGCCGGCCGGCUGUACAGGUGAGUGAACGCCGAACAGCCGCCAGGCCCGCCGCCGGCUCAGUGCUGUACGCGGACAGCGCCGGCGCGGCCAUGGUGCUCUCCAUCCUGUACGUGCUCGUCGUGUGGGUGUCCCUCGAGGUUGUCCUGCUCUUCUCGUCGCCGCUGUUCCUGAUGCAGUACUACUACAGCCCGUACCUGUCCAUGUACCAGCGGUGGUGAGCGGAAGCCGGGGAGGCUGCUCUCUGGGACCGAGACGGCGGCAGUGGCGCCCAGAGGUUCGGAGAAAUGACGAUCACUAGAGCGAGAACUUGGAGGGUCGCUCGGUACACGUAGCAAGUGUGUAUCGAUGUCCGCUGUAAAUACUGUUACUUUUUUCCACUUCUUUUAAGAAUACAACAUUAAAAUUCCA